UACAGAGGUGGCAAGCGUUUGUUCGGAAUUACUGGGCGUAAAGGGCUCGUAGGCGGCCAACUAAGUCAGACGUGAAAUCCCUCGGCUUAACCGGGGACUGCGUCUGAUACUGGAUGGCUUGAGUUUGGGAGAGGGAUGCGGAAUUCCAGGUGUAGCGGUGAAAUGCGUAGAUAUCGGAAGGAACACCGGUGGCGAAAGCGGCGACGCUGGAUCUCUACUGACGCUGAGGCGCGAAAGCCAGGGGAGCAAACGGG
rnacentral:rRNA from 1 species